rfam:Brachypodium distachyon strain Bd21 chromosome 1, whole genome shotgun sequence.
UCAAUACUCCCUCUGUCUAACAAAGGAUGUCUCAACUUUGACUAAAUUUGUGCAUCUAUACACUAAGUCACAUCUAGGUGCAUCCAAAUUUUGACAAACUUGAGACAUCUUUUGUUGGACGGAGGGAGUAUUUG